UACAUGUGGGGCAAGCGUUGUUCGGAAUUACUGGGCGUAAAGGGCUCGUAGGCGGCCAACUAAGUCGGACGUGAAAUCCCUCAGCUUAACUGGGGAACUGCGUCCGAUACUGGAUGGCUUGGAUUCGGGAGAGGAAUGCGGAAUUCCAGGUGUAGCGGUGAAAUGCGUAGAUAUCUGGAGGAACACCGGUGGCGAAGGCGGCAUUCUGGACCGACAUUGACGCUGAGGAGCGAAAGCCAGGGGAGCAAACGGG
rnacentral:rRNA from 1 species